rnacentral:ncRNA from 1 species
UGGCUAGAGUGGUCCACAUGCCAAACUGUAAGGUAGGUGUCCUAAGGCCAGCUCAGGGAGGAUGGAAACCUCCAGUAGAGGAGAAGGGCAAAAGAUUUCUUGAUCUUGACUUUCAGUACAAAUACAGACUGUGAAAGCAGGGCCUCAUCAUCCUUCUGACUUUCUGAGUUUUGCCCAAAACUACAAACAUCCCUAACCCAUAUUAAUUUUACGCCUCUAAAUUGUAAUUGUUAUUUUUCAGAAAGCAGUUUAAAACCAUUAGAGCUGAAAAUGGCAAAUAUGAAGUAUAAUUUUUUAAAGGAAUAAACAGUAG